rnacentral:rRNA from 1 species
GACGUAGGGGGCGAGCGUUGUCCGGAUUUAUUGGGCGUAAAGCGUGCGUAGGCGGCUUCGCAAGUCGGGUGUGAAACCCCGGGGCUCAACCCCGGAACUGCAUCCGAUACUGCGUGGCUAGAGGUAGGUAGGGGAGAUCGGAAUUCCUGGUGUAGCGGUGAAAAUGCGCAGAUAUCAGGAGGAACACCGGUGGCGAAGGCGGAUCUCUGGGCCUUACCUGACGCUCAGGCACGAAAGCUAGGGGAGCGAACAGG